AUACGGAGGGGGCUAGCGUUGUUCGGAAUUACUGGGCGUAAAGCGCGCGUAGGCGGAUCGUUAAGUCAGGGGUGAAAGCCCGGAGCUCAACUCCGGAACUGCCCUUGAUACUGGCGAUCUCGAGUCCGGGAGAGGUGAGCGGAAUUCCUAGUGUAGAGGUGAAAUUCGUAGAUAUUAGGAGGAACACCAGUGGCGAAGGCGGCUCACUGGCCCGGUACUGACGCUGAGGUGCGAAAGCGUGGGUAGCAAACAGGAUUAGAAACCCUAGUAGUCC
rnacentral:rRNA from 1 species